UGUGCCUACGGGGGGCAGCAGUGGGGAAUAUUGCACAAUGGAGGAAACUCUGAUGCAGCGAUGCCGCGUGAGGGAAGAAGGUUUUCGGAUUGUAAACCUCUGUCUUAAGGGACGAUAAUGACGGUACCUUAGGAGGAAGCUCCGGCUAACUACGUGCCAGCAGCCGCGGUAAUACGUAGGGAGCGAGCGUUGUCCGGAAUUACUGGGUGUAAAGGGAGUGUAGGCGGGAUGGGAAGUUAGGUGUGAAAUGCGGAGGCUCAACCUCCGAGCUGCACUUAAAACUGCGGUUUUGGAGGGA
rnacentral:rRNA from 1 species